GUUUGAGAUUUGAGAGGGGCUGCUCCUAGUACGAGAGGACCGGAGUGGACGAACCUCUGGUGUUCCGGUUGUCACGCCAGUGGCAUUGCCGGGUAGCUAUGUUCGGGAAAGAUAACCGCUGAAAGCAUCUAAGCGGGAAACUUGCCUCAAGAUGAGAUCUCACUGGAACCUUGAGUUCCCUGAAGGGCCGUCGAAGACUACGACGUUGAUAGGUUGGGUGUGUAAGCGCUGUGAGGCGUUGAGCUAACCAAUACUAAUUGCCCGUGAGGCUUGACCAUAUAACACCCAAGCAAUU
rnacentral:rRNA from 1 species